UUGCUGGCUGUCUAUCUCUCUGUCAAAUAAAUAAAUAAAAUCUUUAAAAAAAAAAAAAAAGAACCCGUAAAUUUUCUGUAAAUUUGUGAGUCUGCCUUGAUUUGGGUAAAUGAUCGAAUACAGACCAGCACAAAACACUGAAGACCAACAAAAAAGGCAAAGCUCCACUCAGAACAGAUAACAAAGGAAGAGGUGUGCAAUCACUAUCAUUCAUAAACAUGUGCUGAGCACCAUGUGUCCACUAUCUCCUGAGUAUAGGGACCCACUCUGAAGUUAGAUCUCUCUGUAUUAAUUGAACUUUUUCUAUUUAUGGUUAGAUUUAUUUAAAUGUGCAUAGUUCUUUACAUAGUUGUAAUUAGGUUCCUAACAGUCUUUUCAUACAGUGCUAAAUUUAAAGAAACUUUCUAAUAUGACUAAAUAUUUUUAUCAGAUUUGAUUGGUAAACGCCACCAAGAUCAUGGUACCCAAAAUGAAUGGAAGGGAGUGUAUCAGAAAGGCAUAAUUUUGUUUCAUUCUGUUACACUCACCUACUAAAGUAGCCCCCAAAUUAGAAGCACUGGGAUCCAUCCACUCACUCCAGAUAGAGCUAAUAGUAUUUGCCUUCACUUUCUCAAACCUAAUGCUUUAUACAACUAUCAUAUUAUUUCCUUUCUUUUAUAACAGGAAAGUUACCAAACUUAAGUGCAGACAAAUACCUAUUCAUAUCGCAAAAUAGCUAAGAUUAAAGACUGACAAUAUCAAGAGUUGCUAAGGAUGUCAACUGAUGGGAACUGUCAUACGUUGCUGGUGGGAAUAUAAGCUGGUGCAACCACUUUGGAAAAAUAUUUGGCAGUACCUACUAAAACUAAAAAUACAUAUAACCUACAACCCAACAAUUCCACUCCUGAGUGUACAGCCAACAAAAAUAUAUGCUCAUGCUCACAGAAAGGAUAGACAAAAAUACUCUUAACAGCUUUAUGAAUUAUAGCCAACAGUUGGAAACAACUCAAGUGCCCUUUAGUAAGAGAACAGAUAAAUAAGUUUGGGUAGAUUCAUACAAUGGAAUACUAAAUAGUUUUUUAAAAAAGAAUACUAGCACAUGCAACAACAUUGGUGUGUCACAGACAUAAUUAUGAGCAAAAGAUACCAGACAUAAGAGAGCACCUACUGUCUGACCCAUUUUAUGAAAAACAGACAAAACUAAUUUAUGGUAAGAGAUGUCCAAAACAAUGGUUACCUAGGAUUAGUCAUGAUGGUAUUGAGUAGAAAGAGGCAUGAGAACUAGAAAUGUUCCACAUCUUGAUCUGGGUCAUGGUAAUAUGUGUUUGGCAAAACACACACACACACACACACACAUCCUUAUGUGUAAAAAGCGUUAAAUUGUAUACUUAAGAUAUCUUCACUCUACCAUAUGUAUGCCGUAUCUCAAUAAAGAAAAUUAAAACAUUUUUCUUUGGCCAAUAUAGGCACUGUAGCUAGAAAAGCAAGGAUUUCAUAAUUUAAUAGAUCUAGGUAAUCUUUUGUCAUAUUGAAUUUAGACAGAUUUCUUUGUCUCCUUGAUUUUUAGUUUCCUCAUCUGUGUAAAUGGAAUUAAUAAUAACCACUUUUCAGAAUUGUGUAGAUCACACAAAUAAUAAAUACUGAAUGUUUCCAUACACUAUGCUUAAAGUACUAUCAAAAACAGUUAUCCAAAAUCUGGAAAUCUGUAAGUCUUUUCAAUGUUGAGCAAGGGUUGUGUGUAGGCCUGUUGGGUGGAUUAUCUGAUUCUCUAGGUGGGUACUUUUGUUUGAGGUGCUAUUUACUAUCGAUUAGGAUAUUUUGGAACUCUGUAAGUGUAAAAGUUAACUUGUAGAAAAUUGCUGGCAAUGCAAAUGAUUCUUGUCAAAGAGAAAUGCAAAUUAAUUUUGUUCAGAAGAGAUAAAGCUGUUUUCUAGAUUGAAAAGAUAACCCUAAGAUUAUCCUGUUACCACCAUUUAGGACAUGAACCAGAUCUAUACCUAAACCACAAGUUUUAUUCAAGUGUUCCUCUUUCUUUUUUAGCCUCUGUAAAUACUUCCACCUUUCUAAUUCUUUUUGAACUAUCUUGCGGUUCCCUCAUUCAUGAGUUAAAAAAUCUUUGACGUGUGCUCCCUUUAUAUUUGAGUGAGUCAUGUUUUUAACUUCAGAUCUGACAAUACUUAGCAGAGUGCUUUGCUCUUAACGAUGUUCAAUAAAUUUUAGCUCUUAUUCUCAUCCAGCUUUUUUCCUUUCUUCCAAGUCUAGGCAUGCAAAACAAUAUAAGAUGAGGUAUUUCUUCGAUAACAGGUUUUACAAUUAAUGUAUGUUUUAUCUCAACCAUGUUAAGAUUCUUUAAACAUAAUGCUAAAAUCUUUUACUGCAUUUAUAAAAGCAAGCUUUUUAUUAUAGGCUGGCUUUGAGUCCUUUCUUUAGUUGGGAAGUUGGAGCUUAGGGGGGGCAAAAAUGGAUAAUCCUAUAAAUGUGCCUUACAAGGUUUUUUUUUUUCCCUAGGUGCACCUGGUUAAGAGCGUGUAGAGGAACAUGGACCAUGAGAAGGAGAAGUGGGUUAGAUAUGAUAUAUUUUGGUCAGGUUAUCCAAAAGUGAAUGAUAGGUGACCACUGGGUUCUUGCUAGGAUCGUGGGGAGGGAGGGAAUACCGAUGAGGCAGCUGAUACAUGGAGUUAACUAUAAAAACACAUAUUUGUAUGACUUUUUAUACACAUGGUCUCAUUGGACUCUCAGAACAACACCAUAAAAUGUAUUUUUCCAUUUUGUAUAAAAGAAAACAGAGGUAUGAAGGGUUCAAGGUCCCUCCUGGUGAACGAAUUAGUGGCAGUGCUGAGACCAGCCGAAAGUCGAGUGCUUGCCCUGUCACACCGCACUGCCUCUACUUACCCACCAAAUCCACUCAGAGCGUAAUCUUCCCUGCACAGCAGCAUCUCAUCCUGCAAUAUUCAAGCUUGAACAUUAGAGCUGCCUUUUAAGCACCUGUCAGCAAGAGAUCUGACAAUUAGCAGCAAGACUAACAUUUACAAAAUAGUAGGAAACGGAAAAAAAAAAAACAGUAUUUUAGCUAAGAUUUUCCAUUUUGUUAAAUGAUAAGAUUCAUUCCCAAUUCUGAAAGGAAGAGAUUUUGGGAACCUCACAAAUUUGGAUCUUUCUUUAAAGGAAGUUGUAAGUUCAGCCACAGGAGUGAACGAUCCCGUAAGUUUGCCUUGGUAUGUCUUUCUUUAGGUACAUCCGUGUAAGAGUUGGUAAAGGAGCGUGGAACAGGGGAAGGAGUGGGUUCGAGGUCGAUAUGCCCGGGGCAGCCUAUCUCAAACCAGUAGUGGGUGAUAUUCUGGAGCUGCAGGGAGGGCGGAGGGAACCAGAAAGUGCACUCUGAAAACCCCUAUCUUACUUGCCUAUCUAGCCUUGGACCUCUGAAAUAUUACUGGUAAAGAGAGCUGGGAGAUCUGGAGGUCUGAAUAUAAAGUAAUUUUUCUCCUUCUCAAGAUAAAAGACCUGGGGUAAGAAGUGAUUGUUCAGAGAGUAAGACCAUGUUUCUAACUCAAUUGGUAUUGCGCGAUGAAGAUGACUUACAGGCCUUGUGACGCUCGUGUCGAGUGUGUCUCCAGCCAGCUACUAUAAGCUAGGAAAACACAGUGAGCAUCUCACGCUAGCCAGGACAGCCACCAAUAUCAUUGUAAAAAGAGGGAAUACGUGGCAAGGAGAAGUGGUGGCAGUUCUGAUAAAUGGUGAUUUCAUUCAUCAUCCCAGCACACGGCAAUGACGCUGUGAUGAACCGGUAUGGGGACAGGGAAGGUCUCCAGUGGUCCCGAUGAGAGCCACACUGUGGGAAUGGUGGAGGUGGAAUCCUGGUAGGACUGAGUUCCACAGACAACAGGAGGAAAGAGAUAGGACAGUGAAGACUAACAACUCUUUCCAGGGGAAAAGAAAAAUCCUGGGGGCGCCUGGGUGGCACAGCGGUUAAGCGUCUGCCUUCGGCU